UCCGUAGGCGGGCAAUUAAGUCAGAGGUGAAAUCCCACAGCUCAACUGUGGAACUGCCUUUGAUACUGGUUGUCUUGGGUUACAGUGAAGUAGAUAGAAUAUGUAAUGUAGCGGUGAAAUGCAUAGAUAUUACAUAGAAUACCGAUUGCGAAGGCAGUCUACUAACUGUAUACUGACGCUAAUGGACGAAAGCGUGGGGAGCGAACAGGAUUAGAUACCCUGGUAGUCC
rnacentral:rRNA from 1 species